UAAUAAAGAGCUUAAAUGCACAAAUAUGAAGAUAGAGCUAGCUGAUGGCUCUAUUAGUAGCCCAUGGGGCCUUGUUGAGGAUGUUGAGGUUGUUGUGAAGGGGAUUAGUGUUUUGGCUGAUUUUGUUGUCCUUGAUAUGGGAAAAUGGAUUAGAGGCGAGAAUGGGCAUCUCGUGCUGCUUGGCCGACCUUUUAUGGCCA
rnacentral:lncRNA from 1 species